rnacentral:misc_RNA from 1 species
UUGAAGGACAUGCUUCAAAAAAUGGAGGUGCAACUUAAGCCAUUAAUGGAUCAACUUAAUAGAGUGAAGGAUUUGCCUGUUCCUGAAUUUGGAAGCCUUCAAGCAUGGGAAGCUCGAGCAAGUGCUGCUGGGCGCCCAGUAAAUGGUGAUUCUAGUUCCAAUGAUCCCUUCAAAUCUUCCCAGGGGCUAGGGUAUGGUAGAAUGCCGAUGACAUUUAUUGGGGAGACAAAGGUUGAAGUUGCCUUUUCUGGUGUUGAAGGCAAGGAGGAGGAUGUCAAAUCUGAAACUGCAAGUUCAGAUCCGAAAAUGUUGCCUCCAUGGAUGAUCAAGCAGGGAAUGAACCUUACAAAAGAGCAACGUGGAGAGGUCAAGCAAGAGUCUAAAAUGGAUGGAAUUUCGUCAGCUGAAUUCUCAGAUGACAAGAAGUCCAAUGAUGAUGUAGAUAAUAAAAGCUUACAGGAUGAGUAUGUUAAAGCUUAUUAUGCUGCUUUGCUUAAGAAGCAACAAGAACUAGAAGAAGCUGCUAUGAAGCAGGAGUUGUUACGUGCACCCAACUCAAAUGGCGUUUCUGAAUCACUUUCUAAUCGUCAGGUGGGCAUGAAGUCCAAACGUGAGGAGGAUGAAGGGGAAGAUGAUGUUGAAUGGGAAGAGGCCCCAACUGGUGGCAGUACAGGUGAAAGUUACAAGGUCAAUGACUUGAAUUUUGAAGCUGAAGCUUCAGGAGAGGAGGAGGAUGAUAUAGAUUGGGAAGAUGGUUGAGUGUCAAAUUAAUUAACUUGUGCAAUGCAUGGGAACAUAUUUACUAAUUCAAUAUGAAAGGUAACCAACAUUUAAUCUUUGUGUUGCUUAUGUAGACACUGAUUUCUACCAAGUUUAAGAUAUUGUCCAUUGAGAACUACAGUUGAUAAUACCUUGUGUGUUGUAAGUCACUUGUGCAUGUAUUUUGUAAAUCCAUUUUUUUUUUUGGCUUGUUUAUUAAAACC